rnacentral:misc_RNA from 1 species
AAGUCGUAACAAGGUUUCCGUAGGUGAACCUUCGGAAGGAUCAUUACCAUAACGCGGUCGCCCCGUGAUCCCCCCUUCUCCAAUUGCUGGGGGGUUAGGGCGGCCACACGCGUUCUUACCACCCUUGAUUUUGAGCACCUUCAUGUUUCCUCGGCAGGGACGCCUGCCAGCGAGGACCCCCAAAAAACUUUUUGCAGUUUGCAGUUUUUGUCUGAAAACAAACAUAAUAAUCAAAACUUUCAACAAUGGAUCUCUUGGUUCUG